AGAGCAUCCAGGCUGAUAUUCAGGGUUCUGUACUUCAUUAGUUACUGUGAUGAGACUCUGACAAAAACAACUUCAGGAAGAAAGCGUUUGUUUGGUGCCUCGUUGACCAGCCAAGUCCCUCGCCGUUGGGAAGUUACAGCAGCAGGGCAGCAGGUCACAUCGCACCUGCAGUCAGGAGGCAGAGAGAAAAAGAUGAACACUGCUGUUCAACUCCAUUCUCCUUUUUUCUUCAUUCUGGGUCCCCAUCCCACAGAAUGGUGCCAACUUCAUUUAAGGUGGCUUGUUCUAUCCAUGGCAGCAAGUUAAGGGCCAUCUACAUUCAGAUCCCAGCUCUGCUACUCACCAGUGAAGUGAUCCAAGUCCCUUGAGCCUGUGCUCCUAAUCUCUCAGAGGGACAGCUUGAUCACAGAGCCACUGAGUGGCUCCAAUGAGAUGAACUAUGCUGUGUAGCCCAGUGCAGGCAGAGUGGGUAACCAAAGCUGUGGACAUCUCACAUAUUCCACAACUGCCUGGUGGAUGUUGCCCCAUCAGUCUUCAGACUCUUCCAUUGGUCUUC